UCAUAAAAGCCGGCGGUACCCGAAGUUAGCGUGCCAACCCUGCGCAAGCGGGGAAGCAGUUGCCGAAGGUAUGGCUGGUGAUUGGGAUG
rnacentral:rRNA from 1 species